ensembl:lincRNA
UUGUGUUGCUUUUUGAGACAGGGUCUUGUCAUGCAGUCCAGGUUGGCCUGGAACUCACUAUGGAGCCCAGGCCUCUAACUUGUGGGGAUCCUCCUGGCUCAGCCCCCCAGCACUGGGGUUACACGUGAGCACGCGCCACCGCGGCCAGCUUGGUCCCUGCGGUUCUGAUGAAGCGGCAGGGGUGAAUGAUGAGCCCCGAACAAUGAGAAGCCGGGACUGGGCCAGCAGAGCUUCGGGAGGGUUCCCCUCCGGACGCCAAGAGCACCACCCUCGCCCUCGCCACCCGGGAGGGGUCCAGAGCCCAAGGGGCCCCGGGCCAGGUCCCUUUCGCCAGCGCACAGAACACAGUCACUGAAAUGAUUAAAACGCUCCUGUACAAAGGGAGUUUUUCCCAGGACUGCCAAGGACAAGGACAGGAGACUCAAGCGUCCAACCCACGCCCCCGGGAUAGUCACAGUACAGAGAAGCCAGGACCCGCGCGGCCCGGCCUGCUGCUGCUCUGCUGCCUGGCCACCUGCCUGUCGGCCCCUGCGGUGACCGUCCUUUGGCUGUCGCAAGAGGAUUUAAAUCAAAUACUCCAGGACCUGCAGAGGUGCUCGGUGACACUUCUGAGUGACUACGUGAGUGUCCCGAAGUCCUCUCCCAACCGGCCCUUUCCGAUGCCCCGCCGCCCAGAAGCAGCCUCUGCGCUGACCUAGGCUGCGGGGACCCAGGCAGCCGAGGCAGCAGGCCGGGGAGGUGGGAGGCGCCCGCGGAGGCAGAGGCGGGGCCGAGGUGACCGAGAGCCACCCAGGGUCUCUCGGGGUUGCAGGGUAGGCGCUCACCGGCGUCUUCACCUCCAGGCUGCAAGGCCGGGUGGCGUCUGGUCACUCAAUGUCCCGGCCUGCAGCAGCCCGGCGGGUACAGGGCGGCCAGGGCGCCCUCUGGCGUCUCCUCCCGCAGCGAGGGCAGUGCGGGAGCCAGGUGUCCCGGCCAGGCCUGGCCGCGGAACGUAAGGCGCCGGCACUGCUCGGAGCUGCCCUGCAAGCUGCGCAGCUGGGGUCUCAGCAACGCGGCCUCGUCCAAGAGCCGUUCAUCCUUAGGGCGAGGGAGGCGAGCGGGACCCGGAGCCCCAGCGCCAGGGCCGAAGUGGGGACAGUGCUGGUCGCAGCCUGUUGGGGCUGUGGCAGGAAGACAAGGAGGGCGUGAACCAGCCAGUGCCAGAGGAAGCAUUCCAGUGCUUGCGGUUAGAACCUUAAGACGGUAUUUCUGCUUGCUCUGGUUUUUUGAAGCAGGGUCUUGCUAUGCAGUUCAGGCUGCCCUCAAGCUCAUGGUGAUCCUCCCGCCUCAGCCUCCCGAAUGUGCUGGGGUUCCAGGCGUGGUGUGCCACCACAGCUGGCAAGAUCUUGAGAUGUAACUGCCAAGCUAAUGCUCUAAUUUCGCCUCCUCUUUCCACAGAAAGCAAAAGACUUGAAGCUGCCAUGGGAGAAGGGUACACAGGGAAAGUACCAGCUGCCCUGUCUCACCCCUGGCCCCGAGAUGUCAAACAACGCCUCGAUUAUCCUGGCACAUUUUAAACAGAUUGAAAAGUGUAAGGAUGUAGCAUUAAACACAACAGAUGUAAACUAUACCAUAGCACAGCUCGAGAAACUCAAAUACCGAGAUAGCCCAGAACCACAGGUACCCGCCUGUACCGGUGACUUUGAACAUAAGCGCUACGUCCUGGAGGUUUUACAACAGUUUUCAGACUGCAUGGAGAACAUUCUGGGAUCCUCCAGAAAGAGACGGCAUUUUGAGUCAGAACCGUGCGCCCCAAGAGAAUCCUAGGGAACGUUUGGCUGGGCCAGGCCUCGGGGGAAUGAGAUUUAAAUUUGUGAGUUGACUUUUUUUUGUUUUUUUGGGGGGGACAAGGUCCUUGCCGUGUUGUUAGGCUGGCCUCAGACUCAUGGCGAUCCUCCUGCCUCAGCCUCCCAAGUGCUGGGAGCUAACUUUACAGAGAUUACUAUGAUUAGGCUUGGUAUUUAUACUUUUGUCAGCGGUAUUAAUUUAUUGUUAUUUAUUGUACUGAGUUGUUAAUGUUCCUUGAAGGAGUCUAUUUAAUAAAUUAUAUUGAAUUUUUCUCAUAACCUGUUUUGGAUUUUGUGACGGUUGGAAGUUCAGGCUGGGUGGAGUACAGCUGUGGGAGGUUAGAAUAUUUUGGAAACAGCUCUCUUACCAUUUCUUCCCUCGGACAAAUAAUAAUCCCAGCAGCAGCCACCAUUUACUGGGCUUUUUGUUUUGUUUUUUUGACUACAUAAGAUGGUCUCAAACUCAUGGCAAUGCUCCUGCCUCAGCCUCCCAAAUGCUAUCACACUUCCUGAAAAUAAGACCUAGCUGGAAAUAAUGAGCCUUGAAAACUAGAAAUCGAAGUGCCACCCCUGGCUAAACUACCCUUGCCUUACCUGCCUUGCAGAGUAGCCACUGAGCAAGAGAAUAGUGAUGGCUGAUUUUUUUCAGCUAGGUCUUAUUUUCGGGGAAAGGAGGUAGGAUUACAGGCACGUGCCACCAUCCCCAGCUGUGCAUUUUCUUUACGCCAGCUCCAGUACCCAUCAUUAUCUUCUUUGUGCAGAAACUGGGGGAGGAAGUCAUUGAGUCUCUUGCUCAAGGCUACACACCAGCUUGGGCCUCACUGCACGGCCUGACCUUUGUCCCUGUCUGGCCAGUAACCCGGAAGCAGUGAGUGCCGAGUCCAACGCAGAACAGCCGGGCAGCACCCACUGUGUGACUCUCCUAGGUUAAGCCAUGAAGGCAAGUCGUGUCCUAAGCCGUCUGGGGAUCAUCGGAUGAACGGUUCUCAGAGGAGGGUUUGUGGGCCCACAGCGGCCCUUGGCACAGGUUGGAAAUUCAAAUCCCAGCUGGGCUCAGGGGUGCACACUUGGGAACACUUGGGAGGCUGAGGCAGGAGGAUGGCAAGUUCGAGGUCAGUCUGGACAACUUAGCAAAACUGUCUCAAAAUAAAAAUAAAAAGGGCUGGGGACGGGGCCGCACGGGGUAGAGUACUUGCCUGGCAUGCCGCAGGCCUGGCCGCCUCCUCACUACUGCAAUGAGUGAAGGAAGAAAGAGGCAGCGAAUCCCUGGGCCUCGCCUGCUGACUCCUACCGCCCGAGAGUGGAGCCAACACUUCCGAGUGUUCGGACGGUUUCUGGGGGUGCUGGGGGCUGGACCGGCCCUGCUAGGCAAGGGCUCUCCCGCUAGCUGUGCGCCCAGCCAGCUGCUGUCCAGGGAGUUCCGCGAGCGUCACGCCUGCGGCCCGCGCAUCUGAGGCGCCCAGCACCUCCACUUAUCACCUUCAGCUGAUCUUUGGGGACCCCGAGGCCCAACGAGACUGAGGCUUGGGGAAACCCUCGAGAGCGGGGGUGCUGUAGGACUCAGAUCUGUAGCUGUCGCAGAUUUUUGGCUCUUUGCCAUUUGGGUUUUCCUGCUCUGGCCCCGCGCAAGCGGGGCUGUGACACGUCCUGCUCCUCCUGCUCCAGGACGGGCACCCGCCCAGCUGCCCCCUGCCCGGGCUGCCCCGGGGACUCGCUUCUGAAGAGCAGUGCCAGCAAAGCAACCAGGUUGGGGGCUUUCGGCAGACACCACGGUGGCCCAGCCACCCCGGCGACCGUCGCCAGCUCCCCAGGGGCCCGCUCGGAUGGGACGGGGCGAGGGGCCUCACUCCCUCUGCGGUCUUCUCCCCGAACCCGCCACGAGGGUCCCGGCUCAAGAAGACACCGGCCCGACCCACAGGGCCGGCCCGGAACAAGGCUGGGGAGCUGUCACAGGCGGAGACGCAGGCGACGCGGGAAGCCAGGUCUCCUCUGGGGUAAAAGCAGACAUCAGUGGGAAAACCGGUGAUGGCCCAAGCAAGUCUGUGGCUGAGUCAGCACCGCUGGAUGCACGAUUAGAGGCGGCCAGGUGAGGGCUCGGAGGGAAUUCUCUGUAUUAUUCACAACUUUCUGGUAAAUCUAAAAGUAUCAUUACUGAGUCCAUAGAUGUCACCAGUUUCCCUGGAUUAUGAAACCUCUAAACAUAUAUUUACGUAUUUAUUUGUCUAGUUUUUUUUUGAGACGCGUUCUUAGUAUGUAGCUCAUUCUGGCUUAAACUCAC